rnacentral:rRNA from 1 species
GAGGAUGCGAGCGUUAUCCGGAUUUAUUGGGUUUAAAGGGUGCGCAGGCGGCGCGUUAAGUCAGCGGUAAAAUUUCGGGGCUCAACCCCGACGAGCCGUUGAAACUGGCGUGCUAGAGUGGGCGAGAAGUAUGCGGAAUGCGUGGUGUAGCGGUGAAAUGCAUAGAUAUCGCGCAGAACUCCGAUUGCGAAGGCAGCAUACCGGCGCCCAACUGACGCUCAUGCACGAAAGCGUGGGUAUCGAA